UAAAGCCUCAAAAAUCUGAAAAAUGCCCUCAUUUCUCCCAUAAUUCUUUUCUUCUUCCUCUCUCUUCUCUCUCCCAUAUCCGCCCCCCACCACCGCUGUCGCCCGCCGGAAAUCGCCCACCGGUGGCGGCCAACACCCAAAUGACCCCAAAUUUACACCAUGUAAUCUACACAACCUCCUCUUUCCAUAUCUCCAAACCAAAUCCUUCAAAACCCCCUCAAAAUCCUUGAAUUUUAGAUCUAGGAAACUUUAGCCGCCAUUUUUUUGCCCAAAAUCUUGAAAUUCCGGCCACUACCACCCCACAAUACCUACAUCAAUAGAUAUAGCUCAUCAAGACCUACCUAUUGAUGUCAAUUCCAUCACAAAAAUCCGGCAACUUAAAAUUCGGCCAAAUUCCGGCGACCACCCCGAACGCCCUCGUUUGGUAUACCCCUAUUCUCAUUUCCUUUGUCUAUUAUUUCUAAUUGAAUUGUAUUUAGUGUAUGUCUGGCAUAAUUUAUAAUUUUUUUUAUUUUUAUUUUUAUUAUUAUUAUUAGUUGUGUUUAAUCUAUGUUAGCUUAGUCGUUUAUAGUUAUUAAUCACUGAUAAUUAGUUAUUCAUUAGUUUUGAAAUAGCUAUUCGCUUAGUCAUGAUAGUUUAAGAUAAAAGUUUCAAGUGCUUAGUGAAUUUAUUUUUAUUGGAUUUGAGUAUUUGAAUUUUGUGUUGAUAAAAGCUAAAAUUAAAGAAGGAAUAGUACAAGUUUGGUUGUUUUUACUGUGCAAAGACUUUGGAGUACAAAACUCAAAAGUCAUUGUAUGGUGACAAAUUCAAUACUUUUUGACAACUUUUCAAUAGUGUUUAGCACACAAAGUCAGUCUUUUGGACAGACUUUUGGUGAACCAAAAUCUGUCCAAAUAAUCUGAUUUAUUUGCCUAUUUAAAGGGCUGCUCUUCUCCUAUAAAAGGGACACACACUCUAUCUUAUACGAAUACAUCUUUAGAUUUGUUUGAACACACAUCUUUGAACAAAAAAUCAGCAACUGAAUAUUUUAGUAAGUUGAAAUUUGUGAGCUUUGUGAGUGACUCCUAGCGUGUAAAAUCAUUAAGAAAAUAGAGCAAUCGUUUGGCUAAGUUCUGAGAUUGUUAGUUACUAGUUUCAAGUGUCUUCGUGGGAUUUUCUGGGCUGUUUCUCACACUGAUUGGCUGUUGUUACUGUUGCUGGAAUUUCUGUUCAUUCAUCGCUGAUCUUUGCUUUUCUGUUAUCCAGGUAUUCCCAUAUGGUACUGUAAUUUUUUGGGGUCAACAAUAAAUGAAAAUGAAGCUAUUUGAGUUCUUUUCAAUUUAUUAUAAGCUUAAUAACAUUCUGUUUCUUAUAUAGUUUUGUAUGUAAGCAUGCGUAAUACACUAUAAUCUUGUAUUAAUGAGAAAAUGCUUCGUUAAUCCAAGGAGGGUUUUCAUGUUCUUUAAGUGAUGUGUUUGUAUUAUGUAAUAUUGUAAUUUUUUAAAAUAAGGCCAAAUAUCUGAAGAUGGCAACAUUAAUACAUUUUAAAGUGUUAAACUUAG
rnacentral:lncRNA from 1 species